GCCUACGGGAGGCAGCAGUGGGGAAUAUUGCACAAUGGGGGAAACCCUGAUGCAGCGACGCCGCGUGAGUGGAGAAGUAUUUCGGUAUGUAAAGCUCUAUCAGCAGGGAAGAAAAUGACGGUACCUGACUAAGAAGCCCCGGCUAACUACGUGCCAGCAGCCGCGGUAAUACGUAGGGGGCAAGCGUUAUCCGGAUUUACUGGGUGUAAAGGGAGCGUAGACGGCAUGGCAAGUCAGAUGCGAAAGCCCGGGGCUCAACCCCGGGACUGCAUUUG
rnacentral:rRNA from 1 species